rnacentral:lncRNA from 1 species
GGUCGGUUAAUCUAUAUUGAGUAUGCGGCUAUAUCGGCGGUUGGUCUGUUAAUCGGGUUGGCUAAAGUCUGUUAAUCAGGUGUUAUCGAGAAAAUCAUUGCAAGGUCAGUAUGUUUCAUUGUAUAACUUUUUAAUUAUAUUUAUAUCAUAAAAACUAUUCAUGUCUGACAAAACGAUUUGGAGUACUGAAUCCAGUGGUGUAAUUAUUUUUUUUCUAGCUUCAAUAAACGAUCUAUAAAAUGAAAAGGCGAGUUACUCAUCAGUAAAUUUAUACACAUUUUACACACACAAAAUGUACACAAAAAUGACAAGUUGGUUGAGUUUACUUGCAUGCAAUAUUUUGAACAUCGAAAAAAGACAGGCAUUAUGUUUGUUUACCAUAUUAACAUCAAUAUGUAAAAAAUCUACACGAAAAACUGUAUUUUGGUGACAUAAAUCAAUUUUUAAUAAAAAUGUGGUCUGUUAAUGGGUCGGAUGUAUAAAACUCGGUCUGUUAAUUGGUCUGUUAAGAGUUAUGAAUGACAUUACAAGCAUAUUCGGGAAUUUCUCGCUACAUUGAAGACCUGUUGGUGACCCUCUGCUGUUGUUUUUUAUUUGGUCGGGUUGUUGUCUCUUUGACACAUUCCCCAUUUCCAUUCUCAAUUUUAUAAUUUAAUUGCUAUAUGGGGUGUUAUCUGAAUAAAGGGAUAGACUCAAGAUUAGUGGCUAGAAUAUAUGGAAACAACACAUGAAAAAUGAAACAUAAGUUUAGACAAUGGAAUCUGAAAAUUGAUAGAAAUGGUUUCAAAAAGUGUAAUAUCAAAGUAAUAUUAAUUUCAAAAGACAAUACAUACCGGAAAUAAACUCCUCAUAGAUACCAGGAUUGAAAUUUUAUAUUUACGCCAGACACGCGUUUCGUCUACGAAAAACUCAUCAGUGACGAAAAAAAAUGUUUAAAAGGCCAAAUAAAAUACGAAGUUGAAAAGCAUUGAGGAAACACAACUAAUACCGGCGUCACACAUCAGCGUAUAGCACUGGCGUGUUCAAAAUCAUUUACGCUGCCAAUACGCUAGUAAUUUUGGAUGCAUUUAACCUGUCAAUCAUAUUUGUAACGUGUGCAAAACGAGCUUUAAGCGUGUAUUGGGCGUACUAGAAACGUAUGUUGGCGUAUGUUGUAUGUUUUUUUAUGCUGCAUACAAAUUUCCUGUGAUUGUAGCGUUCAUCAAGCGUAUUUACUUUCCUUCAUUGGCUAGAGGAAUAGGGGGAGGGUUGAUAUCUCAUAAACAUGUUUAUCCCCGCCGCAAUUUUGCGCCUGUCCCAAGUCAGGAGCCUCUGGCCUUUGUUAGUCUUGUGUGAUCUAGUAUACAUAUCUUUUAAGGGGCCAGCUGAAGGACGCCUACGGGUGCGGGAGUUUCUCUCUACAUUGAAGACCCAUUGGUGGCCUUGGCCUGCUCUAUGGUCGGGUUGUUGUCGCUUUGAAACAUUCCCCAUUUCCUUUCUCAAUUUUACCUUUGUAUUUCGACGUACUAAAAACUUAUGCAACGCGCUUUGAACUAUUGCUAAGCGUUCCUAUGGCAUGCAACUAACGUAUACCGACUUUGUCAAUUUUCUCUGUACGUUUGGUGCACGCCGGUCUAUACGCCAAUGUGUGACGCCGGCAUAAGGUAAUCUAUUCCUGAGGUAGAAAAGCCUUAGUAUUUCAAAGAAAACGCAUGGAAUUUAACCAGCUGCAUUGCAACACAUGACAGAUUCAUAGAUGUUACAGACUUUGAACAGACAAAAAAAAAAAUAAGGCUGAUUGAUAACUUGGCGUAAAUAAUAAAUUCGUGCGAAUUCGAGCGGCCAAUCAGUCCAUAUAACGCUAUAUUGAAGUGACACACCCUUCAAUGAAAUGCAAAGAAAUAAAAUUAAAAUAAAAGUUCUCUUUCUAUAAGGAUACUGUUGCACCGUAUUGUAAUUUUUUCGUCACAAGUACAUCUCAUUUUUUUCAAUGUGAAAAUAUAAACUAAAGGUAGUAAGACUAUUGUCGUGGCUAAAUAACUCUUAACUGACACGAUUUAAAUUGUCCAACCCAUUAACAGACUGUAUUCCCCUAAUAUUCAUUAAAAUGUGGUAUUACUCAACUUAUAUAACAAUUAUGAAAUAUUUAUCAAUGACAAUUAUUUUUUUAGAACCAAAGUACUAUUUUGUGUCCUUUAAAUCAUAUAUAAAAAUGUUUUUUAGCCUUUUAUCCAAAAUAUUGCUAUGCGUACAAGCAUAAAAACCACAUACUUGCGAGACGCCUUUUCGUUUUACUUAAAACUGCGCAGGCUAUGCAUUUUUUUUACUGGUGGAAAAUGUUCUAUGAUAGAUAUCAUUUUGUCAGACACUUUUCUUUUUUUUGAUGUGGUUCUCAUAAUAUGGCAAAAAUCUGUAUAUUUAACAGAGUUUAACAUUAAAUUGUGAGUUUUACUCUUAACAGACGUAUAACCAACCCGAUUAACAGACCAACCGCCGAUAUAGCCGCAUACUCAAUAUAGAUUAACCGACCAAACUCUCGGUUAGCCGAGUGUCGGCCGUGU